rnacentral:lncRNA from 1 species
AUGAUCUGGACACUAAACUCUGUGAAGACCCAGGGACUAAAGCAGACAAAGAUGCUGAGUAACAAACACCUGGACACCAGCUCGACAGGAACGGUUCUACUGGGGCUGGAGGGCCAGGUAGCUCCAGGCCUCAGUAGACUGCAAGACACAAGCAGCGGAACUUGGACCUUAUCCCGGUGGCAGUGGGAUGCCUCAGAGUGACAUGAACAGGUUUGUGUCUCAACCCUGCUGAUGGCUGCCCUGAGGAUUCACCACUGAAUGCAGCGUCCAGAGGAGAGAGCUAAGCAAGGCAGCUCGUUGAGGCACAGAGAUAACACACUAGAGACAACCGGACCAGAGUGAGGAGGAGGAAGAGCAGCUUAUGAAGAUCCUGGUUUCUGGCAUAGGUGACAGCUGUCAGAAACAAGGGCAGGAACAGAAGAGGAAGAGCAGGAUUUGAGGAUAGAGAACCCGUUCAGUCAUUCAUAGAUGAGCUGCGAGCAUCUGUGGGCCUUUUGGACAUGUCUGCUCUUUAGACACGGCGACCUGGAGUUCAGGACGGAUGGCUGGGCUUGAGAAAUGGAUUUGAGAGUCCCAGUAUGCACAAGAUAGUAGAAGCAGCAGGCAUGCGCGACCUUAUCCAUGCCUGUUUUCAAUAAAAUAAGGUGCAUUUUGUAUUGUAGUAAAAUUCACGUAAGAAUUACCAUACUAGCUGGAUGUAGUGGCAUGUGCCUAUAAUCCCAGCACUCUUGGAGGCUGAAGCAGGAGGAUCACACGUUUGAGCUCAGCCUGGGCAAGUUAACAACUUAGUAAGACUUUGUCUCAAAAAAUGAAAUAAAAAAGAAAGAGCAAGGGAUAUAGCUCAGUGGUAUAAGCACCUACCUGGAAAACAUAAGGUCCUGAGUUAGAUUCCUGGUACCGAAAAGGGAGUGGGGCUAGAAAUAUAACUCAUUGAAGGUCCUAGGUUCAAUCUCUAGGUCAUUUCUCUAAAAAGAAAUGACCAUACUUAGUCUUUUAAAGUAUACAACUCAGUGGCAUUUAGUAUAUGCCCAGUGUUUUCCAAUUGCCACACUAAUUCUUGAGUAUUUUCACGACUGUAACAGGAAAUUCUUGUAAUUAACCUCCCCAUCCGUAGCCUAGCCCUGAUACCCAUGGAUCUGUUUGUGUCUGUACCUAUUUGCCUAAUCCAGACAUUUGGAAUAAAUGGAAUAAUAUAGCAUGUGGCCUGGUGUGUCUGGCUUUUUUUUACUUUUACACAUUCACACUUCAUUUAUACAGUCAUAAAACAUUUUAUGUUUUUAGGUUUCCAUGUUGUAGUCCGUAUUUGCAUCCCUUUUU